rnacentral:lncRNA from 1 species
UUACAUAUUUGUUUUUCAUUCAUUUUUUUACAUAAAUAAGGCUGUUAGUUUUCUCGUUUGAAUUGUUUUACAUUGUCUUAUCGGGGCCUAUUAUAGCUGACUAUGCGGUAUGGGCUUUGCUCAUUGUUGAAGGCCGUACGGUGACCUAUAGUUGUUAAUGUCUGUGUCAUUUUGGUCUUUUGUGGAUAGUUGUCUCAUUGGCAAUCAUACCACAUCUUCUUUUUUAUAUGUACUAAUGAAAUAAGAUACAAAAAUAGGCAAGAUAUUUUUAUUUGAUUCUGUUAGUUACUCUGAUGGUUUUGUAUUAUGCCAUGAUAUAAACUAAAUAUAUAUAUGUGAAUAUAUAAACAUCAAAAGAAACAGUUACAUAAAAAAAACAGUAAAAAACAACAAAGUGUCUUACAACCUGAUUACUGUUAUAUUUUUAAAAUUACUGUAAGAAAGGUCAAUUCUUGUUACUGUUGGUCUUGAAUAACCUACUGGUCAUACCAAGUAUAACUGCUAUUUGUGUAAUAUCAUUAGAUUUAGGUAAGUUAUUAAAUAGAGGCGAUUAUCUCCCUUACCACAAUACAAAUUUUCAACAAAUUCAACUUUUGACAUCCUUGGUUGAAUGUGUCAAGAAAACUACUGAACUAAUUUCUAAUGAAAUCUUACUCAUAUGCAGAUACAGGGAAAGGAAAAUAUGUCUUUGCUUUUAAGAAAACAAGAUAUUAUAUAUAACAUUAUAAAACAAGUGGUCUUUUAUUUUGGUGUUCAACUUUUUUCAAAUUACAUUUCUCUUUUCUUUAUUUCAGUUCAAAUCUGAAAUUUAAUAAAAAAAACAUUAAAGAAAUUUAUAGAUGAAAGAUACUGAAAAUUCUGAUGAUUUUCCUUUCAUGCAAACAGUUUUUAUACAUAUGAAGAAAAAAGUUAUCUUGUCUCUAGGUUUUUCUCAAUUCUUGUUUAUACUAUAAUUAAGUCCAUAAUUUUCUAAUAUCACUUGAAUAUUUGUUUAUAAAAAUGUUAUAGCAUAAAAAAGACUUUAAAUUCCCUCUGGAUUUUUUAAAACUGAUACAGUAUGUUUAGCAACAAAGGUUGAAUGAAAGACUUUAAAACAACCUUAGCUAAGAGACACAAAUUUGAUCUACAUAUCUACACAACAAAUAUUUUAAUAUUGCACUAAGUAUGAAGUUAAAAGAGCAUGAAAAUGUAGUACAAAGUUAUUGAUAUAUAUGUAAGAUAAAAUAAUAUACAAUAAAUAGCAACAUCAAUAUAAAAAUAAAGGAUUCCAAAUAAACUGAUAAAAUAUGAAUAUGAGACAAAGAAAGGAUAAUUUUUGUUUUGGAUAAAAAUUCCAGCAUCAAAUAUUAAAACAUUUAAUUUAACCCAUGUUUGCUAGGAAUUAUUACCCCUCAUAGGUAAUGUAAAAUAUUGUUCGUAUGACUCAAAUAAAGUGUUCAAAUAUAUUAUAUACCAAAAUAUGUAAGGUUCAAAAGAGAUUCCGCUAUCACAGAGCAUCAUAAUUCAAACAAUGAUAGCAUAUGAUAACCAAAUAAAUAAUAAAUACUUCAGACAGAAGUGAAUUUUGUGCAAUGCUAUGUUCUCUAUCAUGACUUUUUGUUUUAGAUGUUUUCUACUUUUGUUUGUUAAAAAUAUUGUAUCUUUUUUGGUAUGUUGUGUUGCUAUCAAAAAAUAUCCAAGAUUAAAUGUUUAGACAAUGUUCAACUUGUUAAAAUACAAUGUAAAGCAUGAAUCAUCAUCUAUUUCUCAAGAAUAAAACAGUAUGAUGAAUAUAAUAUUAGAAGCACUAUACUUGAUACUUAAGGGGGUAGACCUUGGUUCAGGGAGAUAACUCUAUAUUUAUGUAUUGUUCAAUAAGUGUAUUAUGUCUGUAAAGGGAGACAGAUUUGUAAAAGCAAAUUGCUUGUUUCUGAAUCCCUAAUAUUAUUUCAUUGUAUAAUAUGUUUAAUGUUGAUUUAUCUGAAUAAAUAUUGUUUAAACUAACUCUUUAAAUCAGUUAAGCGUUUGUUAAAAGUCAAGUUCAUCAAUGUAUUUUAAGCAUUUACCUGCAACAGAUUAAAAAUAAACUAUGUAACGUAGAAGCUUAGAAUAUAUUUUUGAAAAUGGUUGACACAAACGUACUGAUGAUUUUAAGAGUUAUUUCCCUUAACCUAAGUCUAUCUCCUUAAAUUGGACUUUUCAAACAUUUUUUAUGAGUUCUAAAUUCUAAUGAAGUAUACUAUUAAAAAAUUAAUGAAUAUCUUUUCAGUCUUCUAAAUUAAACUAGCAAAGCUAAUUUAUCGAAAAAAUAAAGUAAAUGAUAAAAUGACAAUUUACCCUUAAAUUACCAAAAUGGCUCGCAUUGAGACAGCAAUCAAUCAAAUGACAUGGUUAACUUUAGCUUGAACUACCAAAAAGUUUCUAGCUUAAAAUUUUCAACUUGCUUCUUCAAAAUUUUUACUUAAGUUUGCUAUUAAAAUUGGUCAGGUCUUCUUUGUUUUUAAACUUUUGUUCAUCAAAAGUAGCAAAAACAGUACAUUUUAAGUAAUAGGCAAAAACAAAUAAUAAAAUGGAAAACAUUAUGUUUGUUUAUAUAUGGCUGAUUUAUAAGAUUUAUAUUGUAACAAAUAAGCAAAUACUGUUGUAUAUAAGCAGAUCUUUAUCGAUAUUAGAACAUUGAAUCCUGAUAUGCAUUGAAACUGUACAUGAGUGGUUAUUGCAUAGAAAGUAUGAAUAAUGCUCAUUCUAUAUACAAAUGAGGUAUGUAUUGUAAGUAUGUUGACAGUCUUUGCAAAAAACUGCCCCCUCAUACAACUAAAUUUAUAUCAAACAUUUUUUCCCACUACUAUUUAUGGUUCUCUCACAGUUAAUACAAUAUACAGUAACAAUCAUAGCUAUUAACAGUAUACAAUCUUUCAAAGCAGAAGAAACAUUAGUACAUAAAACCACAGGCACUUGUCUCAGAUUUUUUUUUCUUUAUACCUGUAUAUAACACUUUUUAAGGUAUAUAUGGGGGAGGGGAAUCUGAGAUCAGUGCCUGUGCAUAAAACUGAGAAUGGAACAUCAAUGUAUUUAUAAAGAAACUUCUUUUGAAUUAUGAUUUUUAAGUACCACAAAGACUAGAAAUGUUAUUUUACAAAACUACUAAGUACAAUCAGACAAAAUANNNNNNNNNNNNNNNNNNNNNNNNNNNNNNNNNNNNNNNNNNNNNNNNNNNNNNNNNNNNNNNNNNN